rnacentral:rRNA from 1 species
AGAAAAUAGAUACCCUGGUAGUCCACGCCCUAAACGAUGCGAACUGGACGUUGGUUGCAACUUGGCAAAUCAGUGUCGAAAGCUAACGCGUUAAGUUCGCCGCCUGGGGAGUACGGUCGCAAGACUGAAACUCAAAGGAAUUGACGGGGGCCCGCACAAGCGGUGGAGUAUGUGGUUUAAAUUCGAUGCAACGCGCAGAACCUUACCUGGCCUUGACAUGUCGCGAACUUUCCAGAGAUGGAUUGGUGCCUUCGGGAACGCGAACACAGGUGCUGCAUGGCUGUCGUCAGCUCGUGUCGUGAGAUGUUGGGUUAAGUCCCGCAACGAGCGCAACCCUUGUCCUUAGUUGCCAGCACGUAAAGGUGGGAACUCUAAGGAGACUGCCGGUGAC